AUGCCCUCUUUUUAUUCACAAGCAACUUCUGAAAAAAGCCUUCCUAAUAACUUGGAAAAGGGCACAGGUAAAGAAAGUGCAUACCCAAUGAAGGAAUUAGGAGGAGGUAUGGUAGCGAUUGCUUGUGGAUCAAUGGCCGGCAUUUUGCCGACCUCAGCAACUCACUCUCCGGCACCACCACUGUUGGCAACACCCUCUCCUUUCUCAUUUUCUGUUGCUUCGACAAGGUGGAGCUCAAGACCUUCCAUAUAUAUUUCAAGUCUCUUCCUUCGGUUUCUGGCUCUCAUUUUCUCAUUUGCCUCUGCUCUCGCGCUAGCAGCUCCAUCGGCUAAGAAGACUACAGGCAAAGAUGAUUCUAGCUUCAGUGACUAUCCAGAACUAUUGUACAGCUUCAUUGUGACUAUACUGGCUUUUGUAUAUUCAGCAUACCAGCUCUUUAAGGGUGUUAGUGACAUUGCCUACAGAGGGAUUCUCAUAUCAGAUAUGGCUUCUGAUUACCUUAGCUUUAUCCUUGAUCAGUUGGCAGGUUACCUUCUCAUAUCAUCAUCUUCUAUGACAGUGCUGGCCAUCCAACAGAGAAGACAAGAUACACUCUGGAAGGCGGCAGUUAUCUCCGUCACCAUGUCUUUUGCUGCUUUCGUUGUUAUAGCCAUUUGCGCGCUCUUGUCAGGUUACAAGCUCUGCAAGAGAAUCAUAUGGUGACAGUUCAUCUUCCUGAUUAUGCUUCUUACUAGAGAGGGGCAAGGCCAAACUAAGGGUAAUCGGAGAAGCAACGUGCAAUUGAAGUGUAGUAACUCCACAAUCUUUCUGAAUGUCAAUAGACAAAUACUAUCAUCUCAAUGCUUUUGUUGGUUUAACCUUGUCUGUUGUUUUGUGGUACCAAUCAAUUCAUGUGAUAUAGUUGCAACCUCUUGUGCCACUGUAUAGAGCUGAAAUGCAAGAUGAAUUUUGAAA